GAGAAAAGCUCCAUUAUAGCUGGCCAAAUAUUCUUGAAUUGUUGAGGUCAGUAGCAAACGCUGCCGAGAAGGAUCUCAUUACUCUUGGAUUUCAGAAUCUUCGUGUCAUCAUGAAUGAUGGCCU